UGCGGUCAAGAACCUUACAAAGGUAGAUAUGCAAUAUGCACAUAUGUAAAUAUGCAUAUAUAGUAGAUACUAGGAUUCAGAUGUAUAAGCUGAUAACCUGCAAACAUUUCAAGGUAGUUAGCACAACAAUGAAUGGCUGUCACCUGCGUCAAAGAAUUAAUGUUUCAAUGACGAAGGCGACGGCUAGCAAAACAAAGAAAGUACAAGCGCCAAAGGUCACUAGCCAGGAAGGCGAGUAUAUGUAUGUAUAUCGCCGGAGGAUAUUAGUUCCACAGGCUAAUACGGCAGACGUUCAUGGUAUUUUUUUUAUCAAAGCGAUGCAGGCAAGCAAGCUGAUUUUAUAAAUGAAAGGAGACAUCGAUUGACAGUGUAUAUCAUACAUCGGCGUUUUAAGUACAAAACCACGUUAUCAACAAAAUGUGUUAGAAAGCUCUUAGUAUUGCUGAUGUGGAAUCAUCUUAGUCGGGAUUUUCCACAUUUAAAAGGCUAUCAUGAAAGUGAUAUAUGUACAUAUAUUGCCGACAAUCUCGCCCGAGUCUGCACUUAACAGUUAUGCUCUGCCUACAGACUCCGAAAUCUAGCGCCCAUUCGAAGUUCAAUAAGAAGUCUAGAACGCCAUUUAUUUUCCACACGAGCUUCAGAUUUUAUUAUAUUUACCUAAUUUUGGUCUAAAAAAGUGCAAAGUGUAAAUUCAUUGUUAGCUUUGUGAAAUUGUGUCGACGCUACCUUCACCAUUUCACCGCGAAUUAUUUAUUUAUUUAACUUAUUUACGAUAACACUUAAGCAAAUAUUUAUGCACGUAACAAUUCUUGCAAUACGCAUAUGUGUAAGUAUGUUAGCACAUUGUUAGUAAAUAACAAUUGCACAUCUAUGUAUGUAUCACCACCUCACCAGUUGGUUUUUCUUUAGAUAUGACGCUGUGAUAAUCAAGUGGUAAUGACCAGCAAAAAUAAAUGUGACUAAUGCCAAGGA